AGAAGUUUAGGUUAACAUGCCAUUAAACCCAUAGCCUUCAAAGCUCUAGACAGGGGACACACCCCUAGCUUCUG
rnacentral:tRNA from 1 species